rnacentral:lncRNA from 10 species
CUGCAACCCACGCUUCGAGGGCCUUGCGCAUUGCAGAGGACACGGCAGCCUGCUCAUCACGCUCAACUACACCUCCUGCGAGAGCUUUGGCCACCUUGGGAGGCAGGAUCUAGAUAUCUCCCCACAAACCUAAACAAUUUCGAGAGGGACUUGUGUUCUGCAACCAGUCACAGAAUAUCAGGUGAGCUGGGCGUGUCUUCACUGACCCACCCGCCCAGGGAUGCUGCACUCCUCUCCACCCUGCUCAGAAUCACUAGAAUGACCGUUCUGUGGCUACAGCCCUAAAAGAGCUACUAAAAAGACCAGAAGUAGUAUGAGAACUUAUGAAUACGAAUAUAAAUAAAGGACAUCUGGAG